GGGGGAAACCCUGAUCCAGCAAUGCCGCGUGUGUGAAGAAGGCCUUCGGGUUGUAAAGCACUUUUGUCCGGAAAGAAACUUCGGGGCUAAUACCUCUGGAGGAUGACGGUACCGGAAGAAUAAGCACCGGCUAACUACGUGCC
rnacentral:rRNA from 1 species